rnacentral:rRNA from 1 species
UUGACCUCAAAUCAGGUAGGACUACCCGCUGAACUUAAGCAUAUCAAUAAGCGGAGGAAAAGAAACUAACAAGGAUUCCCCUAGUAACUGCGAGUGAAGCGGGAAGAGCUCAAAUUUAAAAUCUGGUGGUCCUCGCGGCCGUCCGAGUUGUAAUCUGGAGAAGCGUUUAUCCGCGUCGGACCGUGUACAAGUCUUUCUGGAAGGGAGCGUCGUAGAGGGUGAGAAUCCCGUCUUUGACACGGACAACCGGUGCUUUUGUGAU